GGGUCCUUCAGAUAGAUCAGACGGGAGGACUGAUGGGUCCUCCAGAUAGAUCAGAUGGGAGGACUGAUGGGUCCUCCAGAUAGAUCAGAAGGGAGGACUGAUGGGUCCUCCAGAUAGAUCAGAAGGGAGGACUGAUGGGUCCUCCAGAUAGAUCAGGGGAGGACUGAUGGGUCCUCCAGAUAGAUCAGACGGGAGGACUGAUGGGUCCUCCAGAUAGAUCAGGGGAGGACUGAUGGGUCCUCCAGAUAGAUCAGGGGAGGACUGAUGGGUCCUCCAGAUAGAUCAGGGGAGGACUGAUGGGUCCUCCAGAUAGAUCAGACGGGAGGACUGAUGGGUCCUCCAGAUAGAUCAGGGGAGGACUGACGGGUCCUCCAGAUAGAUCAGAUGGGAGGACUGACGGGUCCUCCAGAUAGAUCAGACGGGAGGACUGAUGGGUCCUCCAGAUAGAUCAGAUGGGAAGACUGAUGGGUCCUCCAGAUAGAUCAGACGGGAGGACUGAUGGGUCCUCCAGAUAGAUCAGAAGGGAGGACUGAUGGGUCCUCCAGAUAGAUCAGAUGGGAGGACUGAUGGGUCCUCCAGAUAGAUCAGAUGGGAAGACUGAUGGGUCCUCCAGAUAGAUCAGACGGGAAGACUGAUGGGUCCUCCAGAUAGAUCAGACGGGAAGACUGAUGGGUCCUCCAGAUAGAUCAGACGGGAAGACUGAUGGGUCCUCCAGAUAGAUCAGACGGGAUGAUGUCACAGGAGAUUCGAGAGUUGGGGCUAGUUCCAUUUCAAUUCAGUCAGACCACAAGAUUCUGACUAUCAAAUAACCCCUAUGUGUGAAGAGCAACGUAAUCAAGUUUUAUAUCUUUGAAAAGCAAAUAAUCUUGACCAAAGAAGAUGUUGUUUUAAUAAUUAGUUAUUUGGUUUUACUUUUUUUUCACAACAGUAUUUGCAUAAUGUGUUAUAAGAUGCUAGGAUUUUGAUUAACUAGAAAAGGCAUUUUUAAAGUCUAAUCAUUGUGAUGCCAAGUUCCAUUUCGUUUUGUGUGGCUUGAGAGGUCAAAGAGCGUUCAGUUGUCAGUUGGAUCGUGUUCAUGAGAUUUCACCUGAAAAAAUGUUCAAAGUUUACUUUUGGGACUUUUUUAAAACAUUUUAUGGUUUUGUUUAUUUUAGGAUAGUUUUAUUUCGUGUUAAAGCAUAUUUUUCCUGAGGUCAUGUCUACACUUGACACUUGCAUGUGACUUCUGCUAUCGGAAUCAAAGGUCGCAUUGAAAAGACGGGUCGCUUUGUGGUCUGAUUGUGUUCAGAUCUGGUUACCACUUCAGGAGUUGGUCAGGGAUGCAUUGUGUUCAGAUCUGGUUACCACUUCAGGAGUUGGUCAGGGAUGCAUUGUGUGUGGAUUUCUCCUCCGUCUGGACACAAUCAGGCUACCGAAAGUGCAUACAGUGGGCGAUGUCAUCAGCACUCCUCUCAUAAGUCUCCAGAAAGCUUGUUUUGAAAUCGAGAGGCGCCUUUUUCAUUAUAACGUUAGAGGACAUACAUUGUUAGUGUGUGAGGAACGUGUUUGCUGGCCUCAGAAAUGCCAACAAGCUAAUAUUUAGAAUAGCUAUUUUUUUUAGUUUGGCUGGUGUUAUGCAAACCCUUUUGCAAUCCCUUUAGUGUUGCUUGCUAGCUACAGAGGUUAGCUGGCUAGUUAGCUACAGUAGUUAGCUACAGAGGUUAGCUGGCUAGUUAGCUACAGUAGUUAGCUACAGAGGUUAGCUGGCUAGUUAGCUACAGAGGUUAGCUGGUUGGUUAGCUACAGUAGUUAGCUACAGUAGUUAGCUACAGAGGUUAGCUAGCUGGUUAGCUACAGUAGUUAGCUACAGUAGUUAGCUGGCUAGUUAGCUACAGAGGUUAGCUGGUUGGUUAGCUACAGUAGUUAGCUACAGAGGUUAUCUGGCUGGUUAGCUAUUGCCAUCAGUUGUUGUUGUGUUAUUAUCAUAUUUAGCCAAUUCCACAGUUUGUAGAAUGCAUACUGGCAUUUGAAUAUAGCGCAGGAAAAAGGGGAAUCCGGAAACAAUGUGGACACGGUUACACAUUUAUUUGUAGGUGUAGACACAUGACACUUUCGGAAUUCCCUGAUCAGAAUUCCCUGAUCAGAAUUCCAUGAUCAGAAUUCCCUGAUCAGAAAUCCAUGAUCAGAAUACUAAAGCUGCGUGAACUGUCAAGUCUAGACACGGCCUUAGAUGGAUAUCAGAAAAGACUGGGCUAUUAUCCCCCUCUGUCUGUGUUCUCAGAGCCUGCGUCAGGGACAGGUUUUGUCGGCUAGGGAGCUUGUGUCCUUUUAUUUCUACUAUUUAACAUGUGUUUUUUGUUGUAAUUUCCUGAUUUUGUUAUUCAUAUUUAGCAUAUCGUGUAUUUCUUUCUCCCAAGUAUUAAAGUUCUGUGUUACAAACCAUAUUAUUUUAUCCUCUCAAGAUGGUCUCAUCAUUUGAAUAAAAAUGUU